rnacentral:rRNA from 1 species
UACGGAGGGUGCAAGCGUUAUCCGGAUUCACUGGGUUUAAAGGGUGCGUAGGCGGGUCAGUAAGUCCGUGGUGAAAUCUCCAGCUUAACUUGGAAACUGCCGUGGAUACUAUUGGUCUUGAAUGUUGUGGAGGUUGAGCGGAAUAUGUCAUGUAGCGGUGAAAUGCUUAGAUAUGACAUAGAACACCAAUUGCGAAGGCAGCUGGCUACACAAAUAUUGACGCUGAGGCACGAAAGCGUGGGGAUCAAACAGG